AGUGGAUGGGGAGCAACCUAGUUGUGCGUGUGUAAAGGUAGUGCCAAGAAAAGCGAUGAUCAUGUUGAAAAUCAAUUCCCGGUACCCGAAACCGACACAGGUGGGCAAGUAGAGAAUACUAAGGGGCGCGAGGUAACUCUCUCCAAGGAACUCGGCAAAAUGACCCCGUAACUUAGGGAGAAGGGGUGCCACCGAGAGGUGGUCGCAGUGAAGAGGCCCAGGCGACUGUUUAGCAAAAACAUAGGUCUCUGCAAACUCGAAAGAGGAGGUAUAGGGGCUGACGCCUGCCCAGUGCCGGAAGGUUAAAGAAGUUGGUCAGUCUUAGGAUGAAGCUAGCGACUGAAGCCCCGGUGAACGGCGGCCGUAACUAUAACGGUCCUAAGGUAGCGAAAUUCCUUGUCGGGUAAGUUCCGACCCGCACGAAAGGCGUAACGAUCUGGGCGCUGUCUCGGAGAGAGGCUCGGCGAAAUAGGAUUGUCUGUGAAGAUACGGACUACCUGCAUUUGGACAGAAAGACCCUAUGAAGCUUUACUAUAGCUUGGAAUUGUGUUCGGGCUUCCUGUGCGCAGGAUAGGUGGGAGGCGUAGAAGGUAUUCUUGUGGGGAUACUGGAGCCAACGGUGAGAUACCACUCUCAGGAGGCUAGAAUUCUAACUUAAUUAAGGACAGUUUCAGGUGGGUAGUUUGACUGGGGCGGUCGCCUCCAAAAAGGUAACGGAGGCGUACAAAGGUUCCCUCAGACUGGUUGUAAAUCAGUCGAAGAGUGCAAAGGCAGAAGGGAGCUUGACUGCGAGAAGUACAGUUCGAGCAGGGUGGAAACACGGUCUUAGUGAUCCGACGGUGCUGUGUGGAAGGGCCGUCGCUCAACGGAUAAAAGUUACUCUAGGAUAACAGGCUGAUCUCCCCCAAGAGUUCACAUCGACGGGGAGGUUUGGCACCUCGAUGUCGGCUCAUCGCAACCUGGGGCGGAAGUACGUCCCAAGGGUUGGGCUGUUCGCCCAUUAAAGCGGUACGUGAGCUGGGUUCAGAACGUCGUGAGACAGUUCGGUCCAUAUCCGAUGUAGGCGUGAGAAUAUUGAGAGGAGCCUUCCUUAGUACGAGAGGACCGGGAAGGACGCACCGCUGGUGUACCUGUUAUGAUGCCAAUUGUAAACGCAGGGUAGCCAAGUGCGGAGAGGAUAACCGCUGAAAGCAUCUAAGUGGGAAGCCCACCUCAAGAUGAGUAUUCUGGUGUAAGGUCACGGGAAGACGACCCGUAAAUAGGCACGAGGUGGAAGUGCAGAGAUGUAUGAAGCCGAAGUGUACUAAUAGACCGUCGGC
rnacentral:rRNA from 1 species